AAUUCGCCCUUAGAGUUUGAUCAUGGCUCAGAUUGAACGCUGGCGGCAGGCCUAACACAUGCAAGUCGAACGGUAGCACAGAGGAGCUUGCUCCUUGGGUGACGAGUGGCGGACGGGUGAGUAAUGUCUGGGAAACUGCCCGAUGGAGGGGGAUAACUACUGGAAACGGUAGCUAAUACCGCAUAACGUCGCAAGACCAAAGAGGGGGACCUUCGGGCCUCUUGCCAUCGGAUGUGCCCAGAUGGGAUUAGCUAGUAGGUGGGGUAACGGCUCACCUAGGCGACGAUCCCUAGCUGGUCUGAGAGGAUGACCAGCCACACUGGAACUGAGACACGGUCCAGACUCCUACGGGAGGCAGCAGUGGGGAAUAUUGCACAAUGGGCGCAAGCCUGAUGCAGCCAUGCCGCGUGUAUGAAGAAGGCCUUCGGGUUGUAAAGUACUUUCAGCGAGGAGGAAGGCAUUAAGGUUAAUAACUUUAGUGAUUGACGUUACUCGCAGAAGAAGCACCGGCUAACUCCGUGCCAGCAGCCGCGGUAAUACGGAGGGUGCAAGCGUUAAUCGGAAUUACUGGGCGUAAAGCGCACGCAGGCGGUCUGUCAA
rnacentral:rRNA from 1 species